AGAGAGAAAAAUAUGUGGUCUUCUUCUUCCCUAAGUGAACAAACAACAAAAUCCUAGCCUUUCACAUUCUUCUUCAACCUCCAUAGCUGCCCCCCAUGGCCACUGUACAUUCCCCACGACAGAAAAACUACCAUCGUCAUCCUCAGCUGCCUAACCCAACCCCCACAUCGUCACUCUGUACUAAAUGACCACCCAGCCGCCAGACAGACUCAUCUCCGUUAACCAGCCUCCUGCAAAGCUGUUGCCUCCACGACCAACAACCACUAGCG
rnacentral:lncRNA from 1 species